GCCAGGUAUUGAUCUACUUACACUUGCAUGUUUUUGAACUGCUAGGUCAGCAGAAACUGGGGCUGACAAAAAAAAAUGCAGGAGUUCAUCCCGCCCUGUGGAUUUGAACCGAGAGCUAGAUCAUCAAUAUUCCCAUUUUACGGAGAAGAGGAGAAUCAGUACACUGAUCUGAGCUCAGAAAGUUGAAGAAAGGUGAGAUAUACAGCAAGUAAGACC
rnacentral:lncRNA from 11 species